rnacentral:misc_RNA from 1 species
AUGAUGGAGGUUGAUGUUGAUAUGGAGAGUUGGGGACCACGAUUAAGAUUCCUGAAUAUAUGAUUAAGAGGUUAUUAAAAAUUGGUUUCUGUUGCAGCUUUUUUGUUAAGUUUGUAUGAGCCUUGUUAUUUUAUUUUUUGAUCAAAAGGGGUGUAUGAGCCAUUUUUGAUAAAUAAGAAGUGUUCCCAAAUUGUUGUUGUUAAUGAUGCCUGUAGUUAUGACAACAAUUGCUUAACAUAGGUUAAACCAUGGAGCUUCAUAAACUUUAGGCCCAGAGACAUGAUGCGGAGUUUAUAGAUUGAGGUGCUUUCUUAGUAUGUGUUACAGGAGAAUAGCAAGGGUACAUCUAACCAUUUAAAAGGACGAGGGAGUCUUUUGUAUUGUUUUUAUCUGACUAGGAACUUGUAUGUAUGAGCUUUUAGUCAGGUUAUGUAAUUCAGUUCUUUGCCUUGGAAGACAUGCAUGUGCUGCUUUAGAAGUGUUUUUGUUAAUACUGUGUUAUGCAGAAAGCCAGAAACUGGGAUAUCUGACAAGCCAAAACAUUAAUGAAUUUUGCAUAUACUAACUUGCUUUCUUUCCUUGCUCAAUUUGGGGGGAAGCCUAGGUGAAUGUUAAAGUAAUAAAAAUGGCGAACUGCAGUUGCUGUACAGCAUAUUAUGUAGUAAACAUGCAAAAUAAGCAAUGGUAGUUCAUAUUGCUAAAAAAUAGUUUAGCAAUGUUGCAAGCAGGAACUCCAUUUCCACAUGGGAAAAUUAGUCUAGCUAAGUGCAGUACCACUAUAUUCUGCUGGAUAAUGUUGACAGGAAGAACCUAAUGUAAGAUCUUCUCAAUUGCACGA